UACGUAGGGCGCAAGCGUUGUCCGGAAUUAUUGGGCGUAAAGCGCACGUAGGCGGAUACUUAAGUCAGGGGUGAAAUCCCGGGGCUCAACCCCGGAACUGCCUUUGAUACUGGGUAUCUCGAGUUCGAGAGAGGUGAGUGGAAUUCCGAGUGUAGAGGUGAAAUUCGUAGAUAUUCGGAGGAACACCAGUGGCGAAGGCGGCUCACUGGCUCGAUACUGACGCUGAGGUGCGAAAGCGUGGGGAGCAAACAGG
rnacentral:rRNA from 1 species